rnacentral:sRNA from 1 species
GCAUCCCUCCUUCCCAGGACACACUCAAAGCUUCAGAGCGGUCCGCUCUUCUCAAGUCCUAUUGGCUGAAGUCCACGCGUCUCAUGGCACUGGGGUGAAAGGCGGAAAAGGCCUUCCCCAGGCGCGAGAAGAUGACGUCACAGUAGCCCGGCCGGGCGCUGAGGUAGCCUGGGGCUCUCUGCCUAGUAACUGGCCUCGCACGGCGCCGACCGAAGACCCCCUCCGUCAGCGACGCCGUCGCAAUGGCCAUUUGUCAAUUCUUCCUUCAAGGCCGGUGCCGCUUUGGAGAUCGGUGCUGGAACGAACAUCCCGGUGCCAGGGGUGCAGGAGGAGGACGGCAGCAACCGCAGCAGCAGCCUUCAGGUGACUCUCCUCUGAAUCCUCCGCGGUAACUGAGCCGGGAAGGGCCCGCCGGCGGGGACCGGGCGUCCCGCGUGUGUCCCGGUGCUGGUGACCCCAAUGUGCCCGCGUCGCGGCCUUGCCGGCCCCACUGGGCCCUGCACAACGUUUUUAAACCGAGGGUUUUAUCUACAUAUUAUUCAUGUGGUCCGUUUUUAUUGAGCUUCUGAGGACCUGGGUUUGGGCCUGGAUGCUUGUGCGACACUGAGUUUUUAAAUCGGAAGUACCUAUCGAAACUACCUUGUAGGUAAUAAUAGACGUGGAUGGAAUACAACUAGCCAGAGAUAUUCCAAUGUCAUCCAGUCAUCCAGUUUCUCCAAAUCCACACCAUGGGGGGGCAGCAGAGAUCAAGAAAAGCCAUCUUUCGGUUCUUUUGAUUCUGGAGCUUCAACUAACAGGAAGGAAGGCUUUGGAUUGUCUGAGAACCCAUUUGCUUCACUUAGUCCUGAUGAGCAGAAAGAUGAAAAGAAACUUCUGGAAGGAAUUGUAAAAGAUAUGGAGGUUUGGGAAUCAUCAGGGCAGUGGAUGUUUUCUGUUUAUUCACCAGUGAAAAAGAAACCUAAUAUUUCAGGUUUUACAGACAUUUCACCAGAGGAAUUGAGGCUUGAAUACCAUAACUUCUUAACCAGCAAUAACUUACAGAGUUAUCUAAAUUCUGUCCAACGUUUAAUAAAUCAAUGGAGGAACAGGGUAAAUGAACUGAAAAGCCUCAAUAUAUCAACUAAAGUAGCUUUGCUCUCUGAUGUAAAGGAUGGAGUAAAUCAAGCAGCACCUGCAUUUGGAUUUGGCAGUAGUCAAGCAGCAACAUUUGUGUCGCCAGGCUUUCCAGUCAAUAACAGCAGCAGUGAUAAUGCUCAGAACUUUAGUUUUAAAACAAACUCUGGAUUUGCCACUGCCUCUUCUGGAAGCCCUGCUGGUUUUCGGAGUUCCCCAGCAUUUGGAGCUGCAGCCUCUACCAGUUCAGCUAUCUCUACUUCUGCUCCAGCUUUUGGAUUUGGGAAACCUGAAGUCACCUCGGCUGCAUCAUUUUCAUUCAAAAGCCCUGCAGCUUCCAGUUUUGGAUCACCUGGAUUUUCAGGACUUCCAGCUUCCUUGGCAACAGGUCCUGUCAGAGCUCCAGUGGCCCCAGCCUUUGGAGGUGGCAGUUCUGUGGCUGGUUUUGGUAGUCUGGGCUCACAUUCUCACGCUGCUUUUUCUAAGCCAUCCAGUGACACUUUUGGAAAUAGCAGCAUAUCCACUUCUCUCUCAGCCUCAAGCAGCAUCAUUGCAACAGAUAAUGUGUUAUUCACACCCAGAGAUAAACUAACAGUAGAAGAACUCGAACAAUUUCAAUCCAAGAAAUUUACUCUGGGAAAAAUUCCAUUAAAGCCUCCACCUCUGGAACUUCUAAAUAUUUAAAAGGGCAAUUUUAAAUCCAAAAAAUAAUGAUGUUUAAAAUUGUUUUGAGUGAUUCAUAUAGAGAUGUAUAUAUGCAUACAUGUAUAUAUUCAUAAGGAAUAUAAGCUUCCAUUAAUAGUGAUUUUAAAUUUUAUUUUUUUCUUAAGUCUAAAUAUUUAAGUAAAAAGUAACAAAAACUCAGCAAGCAAGGGAAGUUUUUUGUACAGUAAU